rnacentral:lncRNA from 1 species
UCCGAAACCGGGCCAAUCGUGACUCUCGACACUGGCGCCGCUCCACGGCUCGCAGCGUGAGCGCCGCCGGCCGUGUGCGGCACGUGGGAGUAGGGGUACUUGUAUUGCGCGCGGCACGCGAAGCGUGCGCCGCGCGUCAUUGGAGAUUUUGGUUUCGAAUGCGCAGUACGUGAUGGUGUUACAGGAAGCCGGCCGGCCGCUGCCGCCGGACUUGAGUUUCGCUACAAGCACCUUUCCGGUAUCUGUGCAAUCCCGUCGUUGUCGGCAGCAGCAGUAGCAGGUGUGGGCGGUCCCGUGCCAGGCUAAUCAACGUAUCGGCCAGGUACUGUUUCGCUAGCCGGAGCGGUUUCGUCUGUCCCGAGUUUUCCUCCCGUCUUCUGCCGGUGUCUUCCCGCCACUGUCGUCUGCUAAGUUGCACCGCAGUGGACGUCGCCAGUCUCCGUCGAGAGGAAGGAGCAACAGACUUUGGCCGCUGCGUCUUCGCAAACAGAAGAUCACACCUCACCGCGUCGUCUGGCGCAAGCUGGGUGCGCGUCGUCUGCUUGUGGUGACCUUCUGGAGAUGUACGUGACCCGAUGCUCUGAGCUGGCCGUGGUGUUCCCACCUCUGCUCGACAGCCGACGUGUCUGCGCUAGCGACGACAAUGCCGUCAAGGACGCACUUGGAAGGUCGAGAGUCCGGGUGUGCGACGGCGCCCUCUGGUGGCUGCGCUGGAUGCCUGCCGAAGACCCGUGCUUAUCCCUAGAAAAAUGUCUGCAAACAAUAUACCUUCAUUGGUCCCCACCAACGUUCCGGAUAUUACCCCUUAAACGUGACGGUAUUGGCCAUGAGACAACCAAACACCCUUUA